rnacentral:rRNA from 1 species
GACGUAGGGCGCGAGCGUUGUCCGGAUUUAUUGGGCGUAAAGAGCUCGUAGGCGGCUUGUCGCGUCGAAUGUGAAAACUCGGGGCUCAACUCCGAGCUUGCAUUCGAUACGGGCAGGCUAGAGUUCGGUAGGGGAGACUGGAAUUCCUGGUGUAGCGGUGAAAUGCGCAGAUAUCAGGGGGAACACCGGUGGCGAAGGCGGGUCUCUGGGCCGAUACUGACGCUGAGGAGCGAAAGCGUGGGGAGCGAACAGG